rnacentral:pre_miRNA from 1 species
AGUGUGAUGGCUGGAUUAUAUGGCAAAACUAUGGUUAGUUUUGAAGAAAUUGCCAAAUUGUCUUCCAAAGUGGCUGUACUAUUUUGCAUUUCUGCCAACAGU